rnacentral:rRNA from 1 species
UACAGAGGGGGCAAGCGUUGUUCGGAAUUACUGGGCGUAAAGGGCGCGUAGGCGGCCUGCUAAGUCGAACGUGAAAUCCCUGGGCUCAACCCAGGAACUGCGUCCGAUACUGGUUGGCUUGAAUCCGGGAGAGGGACGUGGAAUUCCAGGUGUAGCGGUGAAAUGCGUAGAUAUCUGGAGGAACACCGGUGGCGAAGGCGACGUCCUGGACCGGCAUUGACGCUGAGGCGCGAAAGCUAGGGGAGCAAACAGG